rnacentral:rRNA from 1 species
UCGCCGCCGACGACGUCGCGAGAAGUCCACUGAACCUUAUCAUUUAGAGGAAGGAGAAGUCGUAACAAGGUUUCCGUAGGUGAACCUGCGGAAGGAUCAUUGUCGAUGCCUGCAAUGCAGAACGACCCGCGAAUCGUUUCUCAACACCCGGGACGCCGGCGGGCGUUUAGCUKKUCGGUAUCCCGGCGCUUCGGACGUUGAGGGUGCGAGCCACCCCCAGCGGAUGGAGCAUCAAACCCACCCCGGCGUGCAAAGCGCCAAGGUACUCCAACGGUAGGGCAUGCACCCGUAGGCCUGGACUCCAGAGCGUUCGGGUUGCUGUUCGGUGUCAUAAAUCUAAACGACUGUGUGAAUUGCAGAAUCCCGUGAACCAUCGAGUCUUUGAACGCAAGUUGCGCCCGAAGCUUUGGCUGAGGGCACGCCUGCCUGGGUGUCACACAUCGCGUUGCCUCCAAAACCUUUUUCCCCCCGUAACAGCUGGGGUGAUGGUUUGGAUGCAGAAGAUGGCCUCCCGUGGCCACGUGCUACGGAUGGCCCGAAUCUUUGCUGGGGAAGCGAAGCGCCACGGCGUUCGGUGGUCGGCACAUAGCCCCCCGAGGCAGUGAAGCCCGUGGUAGCCGCGAUAGUCCCCCGUCUACGACCCUUAUCACUAACCAACGCGACCUCAGGUCAGGCGGGGCUACCCGCUGAGUUUAAGCAUAUCAAUAAGCGGAGG